GCGUGUUUGCUAAAAUGUCUUAAUGCACUGGACUACUAGUUUUGAUGUGUUCAUUGUUCAUUUGUAGCUCCCUUGUGCUUGCAAAUUGCUAUAAUUUACAAUACUUAGCAUUUGCAGCACCGAUGCAUCUUCUUCGCUAUCAGUUCAAGUGAUCAAAAUGGUAUAAAAAACAAGUUGAAUAUUCCUCGUUUUGUGUCUCUUUGGAUCCAAAACAUUUUCAAUUCUAGUGUAGCUUGCUGUAAGAAAAUAUAACUUCACUGUGCAAGAAGUUCAUCUUCUAUUCUGCCCCUAGAAAGAAGUUUGUCUUGUAAAGGUUGAAGCUAAUGGGCUAGGAAGCUUUAUAAGAAAUUGAUUUGCCUCUUCAUUGAAAAAGUUUGGUUUGCCUGUUCCGUGAAAAUGUCUUGCUAAAGAAAUAUCUCUUGUGCACUUAUUUAUUCGCCUGAAUAUUUGGUUUGAUUCUCAGGUGCGAAAUGUCUUGCUAAUCAAAGUUUGGUUUGAUUCUCAGGUGCGAGAAAUAUCUCUUGUGCACUAGUGGUUGGCUGCUCCCAGCGGUAAAUGUAGUCGGAUUCAGCAGCUAGCUCUUCCUCGAGCAACCAUUUGGAGAACUUUAUUGUCUUCUUGUGGUGGUGAUUGAUUUUAGGAUCUGUAAAUUUGACGUUGGUAGCUAGCUUAUGUAUGGAACCUGCAAGUUCAAUAUUGGUAUUAGAUUCAGUUUUUGUUGUAUAAAUGUCCCAAUGUUCACAUUUAUUUGGGUAAAAUUUUAUUUUAGUUCUGCUACAGAAACCAUGCAGGUUCAGUGAUGAUGAUACCAUAAGUUCGGAAAAGAAAAUUUAUGUAUAUGAUGAGAUGAUUGCUACUUCUUCAAAGAAGGUAUAGUACAUGACAGCUUGAUG
rnacentral:lncRNA from 1 species